GACGAACGCUGGCGGCGUGCUUAACACAUGCAAGUCGAGCGGUAAGGCCCUUUCGGGGGUACACGAGCGGCGAACGGGUGAGUAACACGUGGGUGACCUGCCCUCAGCUCUGGGAUAAGCCUGGGAAACCGGGUCUAAUACUGGAUAUGACUCCAUGACGCAUGUUGUGGGGUGGAAAGCCUUGUGCGGCUGAGGAUGGGCCCGCGGCCUAUCAGCUUGUUGGUGGGGUGANGGGCCUACCAAGGCGACGACGGGUAGCCGGCCUGAGAGGGCGACCGGCCACACUGGGACUGAGACACGGCCCAGACUCCUACGGGAGGCAGGCAGUGGGGAAUCUUGCGCAAUGGGCGAAAGCCUGACGCAGCGACGCCGCGUGAGGGAUGACGGCCU
rnacentral:rRNA from 1 species